rnacentral:rRNA from 1 species
AUUGAACGCUGGCGGCAGGCUUAACACAUGCAAGUCGAGCGAGCGGAGGACGGGGGAGUAAUGUGUGGGAAACUGCCUGAUGGCGGGGGAUAACUACUGGAAACGGUAGCUAAUACCGCAUACCAUCAGAAGUGCACAGAUGGGUUUAUCUAGGAGGUGGGGUACUGGCUCUACUAGGCGACGCUCCCUAGCUGGUCUGAGAGGAUGACCAGCCAGACGGGAACAGAGCCACGGUCCAGACUCCUGAGGGAGGCAGCAGUGGGGACUAUUGCACAAUGGGCGAAAGCCUGAUGCAGCCAUGCCGCUUGUGUGAAGAAGGCCUUCGGGUUUUAAAGCACUGUCAGCGAGGAGGCGUUACUCGCAGAAGAAGCACCGGCUAACUCCGUGCCAGCAGCCGCGGUAAUAC